rnacentral:tRNA from 1 species
GGGGGUGUAGCUCAGUGGUAGAGCAUAUGCCUAGCAUGCACAAAGCCCUGGACUCAAUCCCCAGUACCACUC